GAUGAACGCUGGCGGCGUGCCUAAUACAUGCAAGUCGAGCGAACAGAUAAGGAGCUUGCUCCUUUGACGUUAGCGGCGGACGGGUGAGUAACACGUGGAUAACCUACCUAUAAGACUGGGAUAACUUCGGGAAACCGGAGCUAAUACCGGAUGACAUAUUGAACCGCAUGGUUCAAUAGUGAAAGGCGGCUUUGCUGUCACUUAUAGAUUGAUCCGCGCCGUAUUAGCUAGUUGGUAAGGUAACGGCUUACCAAGGCAACGAUACGUAGCCGACCUGAGAGGGUGAUCGGCCACACUGGAACUGAGACACGGUCCAGACUCCUACGGGAGGCAGCAGUAGGGAAUCUUCCGCAAUGGGCGAAAGCCUGACGGAGCAACGCCGCGUGAGUGAUGAAGGUCUUCGGAUCGUAAAACUCUGUUAUCAGGGAAGAACAAAUGUGUAAGUAACUGUGCACAUCUUGACGGUACCUGAUCAGAAAGCCACGGCUAACUACGUG
rnacentral:rRNA from 1 species